UACGGGGGGGGCAAGCGUUGUUCGGAAUUACUGGGCGUAAAGGGCUCGUAGGCGGUCAACUAAGUCAGACGUGAAAUCCCUCGGCUUAACCGGGGAACUGCGUCUGAUACUGGAUGGCUUGAGUUUGGGAGAGGGAUGCGGAAUUCCAGGUGUAGCGGUGAAAUGCGUAGAUAUCUGGAGGAACACCGGUGGCGAAGGCGGCAUCCUGGACCAACACUGACGCUGAGUGAGCGAAAGCCAGGGGAGCAAACGGG
rnacentral:rRNA from 1 species